AGGUAAGGUAAGAUGGCCGAAUGUUAAGGCGUUAGGCUGUAGUCCUCUUCACAGAG
rnacentral:tRNA from 1 species